AGAAGCAGGGAGAAACAAGGCGUGACUAACUCCUGCUGCAAAGCCUGACUGGUCAGCCUCACAACCAGAUUAAAGGAGGCGCAGUGUACUGGAUUCUGCCACUUUAGACUCUAAACAAAACAGUCUAGGAAUUCUGGAACUUACUACUGCUGAGACAAGACAGGAAUGUUGCACCUCAGAUAACACAAUUCAGCAUCCCCUCCCCCCCACCAGCUUCAGCCCAUACCUGCUGCAGCAUUUCUUCAGUGGCAUUCAGCUUCUCUCUGUGCUCUUCAAGACAGAACUCCAAAUCCCGAAUCUUCUCUCCCUGAGCCUCCACCUGGUCUGUCAACACACUUACCUAUUAAUUUAAAGCAAGGGGCUAUAAUGAGUUUGAAA
rnacentral:lncRNA from 1 species